rnacentral:tRNA from 1 species
GAGAAGUCAACAAGACCUGCUAACUCUUUAAUCUGGUAUUAAAUUUAUCCAGCCUUCUCU